AUUAAGCAUAUCAAUAAGCGGAGGAAAAGAAACCAACAGGGAUUGCCCCAGUAACGGCGAGUGAAGCGGCAACAGCUCAAAUUUGAAAUCUGGCCCUCGGGUCCGAGUUGUAAUUUGUAGAGGAUGCUUUUGGCGAGGUGCCUUCCGAGUUCCCUGGAACGGGACGCCAUAGAGGGUGAGAGCCCCGUCUGGUCGGACACCGAGCCUCUGUAAAGCUCCUUCAACGAGUCGAGUAGUUUGGGAAUGCUGCUCAAAAUGGGAGGUAUAUGUCUUCUAAAGCUAAAUAUUGGCCAGAGACCGAUAGCGCACAAGUAGAGUGAUCGAAAGAUGAAAAGCACUUUGAAAAGAGGGUUAAAAAGUACGUGAAAUUGUUGAAAGGGAAGCGCCUAUGACCAGACUUGCGCCCGGUGAAUCAUCCAGCGUUCUCGCUGGUGCACUUUGCCGGGCACAGGCCAGCAUCAGUUUGGCGCGGGGGAAAAAGGCUUCGGGAAUGUGGCUCCCUCGGGAGUGUUAUAGCCCGCUGCGUAAUACCCUGCGCCGGACUGAGGUACGCGCAUCGCAAGGAUGCUGGCGUAAUGGUCAUCAGCGACCCGUCUUGAA
rnacentral:rRNA from 1 species